UCACCCCCACAAAGCGCCACCCGCCGGCAAGAUCCCGCCUCGACUCACGCCCCCAAAAAAUCCCCAAGCUUCCUCUGACUCUAGCCGCGGCCGGGCCCCAAAAUCGAUCGGCGGGAGCCACUGUGUGCUCCGCAGCCUCCGCUUGGGCGUCUCUUCCGCCCCUGAGCCGGCGGUGGACGCGCAGGUGCUCGAGGACGACCGCGGACAGCAGAGCCCUCCUCUACUCAAUUACCCCGACGACUCCCAAAUCCAAGUCUUUGCCUUCCCGGUGUUUAUUGUGGUUGUUGCCUUCUCUAAUGUUUUUGUUCCUGCAGGCGUGUCUGUCAAUUGUUGCUGCUGUUUUUCGACGCCGCUGGUGGUUCGGUUCCUCCUGGUUUCUUUAAUUGCUCCGGUGAGCUUCGGUCUCUCUUGCUUCUACAUUUUUGGGUCGUUCGCAUGUUGUUUUGUAUAUUAUUCCGUUCGCUUCCUGUUGGUAGCUGUGGAAUAGAUGUAUUGUGAUAUUUACGGUGAAGAACAACAAGAUUUGCCACUUGCCAUAAAACUAAAGGAGGUUGGACAGGGCCAGCGACAUGAAGUACCAUCUUUAAUACGGACUGGUAUACAGACCCAUACAUCCCUUGGUUGUGCCUCACCAGAUGUUCAGUUUAUAUGCAUGCUUGUAUGUUAGCAUGUUCUUUAAAACCAUUUAUCCUCUUGAGAAUUAUGUAAGAGAAUUUUGGUAUCUCAUGCUAACUCAUUAACAAGCACCAAUAUUGAUACCCAAAUUCGAACGGUUGCUUUCGAUCAAGAAAAUAUUUUGUGAACAUAGGCAACUUUUUCUUCCACAUAUAUGGUAGUAUUAUUUAUUUCAUGCAUGAUUCCCUGACUAAUACUAAUGGAAUUAUAUGGUUGCAAACCUGAAAACUCUACCUGCCUUUGAUAUUGAAAUGCUUUAGCUGCAGUGAAAUUGUAUAAGAACUCUUAUGUGUUCAUUAGCAGUUUAAGAACCUACGUUGAGCUUGUUUCCGCCUUUUAGCCCUUUUUAUGUACAGUGCUGGAUCUAUGAUUUUAGUGUCCUCUGUUUUCAGUGUUCAUUUAUGGGUGGCCUUCAGUUUUGCCAAUCAGCCUUGGGACCCUUUUGAACUCAUUGGAUUCAUGGACUGCCAAAGAUCACAGUUCUUGCAUGCAGUGUGGAUAAGAAGAUAGAUAAAUAAUGGAUGCACAAGACACUCCUAUGACUUUUCAGGAUGACUUUGAGUUGCAGAUAUGUUUGAAGCGAUAGAUAAAGAAUGGCUGCACAAGACAGUCAUAUGAACUCUAAGGAUGACUGUGAGGGGCAGCAGCAUGAGAAUGAGCUUGGUACACUUGCCUGGUGCGUUGCAGAUGUGUCAGAUCCGCAUGUGUUUUGCUCACUCUCAGCCCACAAUUUCUGACCAUUGGCAGGUCGACAUGGAUGAAGCCUCGAUCGCGUCCGCCGCCGCCACCGUGCUGCCUCCUUGGGCGGCGGUAGGUGGUACAUGGGCAUGUCUGCCGAUGACAUUGAAAUCAUUGAUCUUUUCUGUUUGGUGUUACUUCUGUGGAAUUUCUUCUCAUUAUUGUUUGUAGUCAGGAUUUACCUAAAUGUUUCAAAUGACUGGCACACUGCAGUUGCCUAUCAAGGCAGAUUUCACAGUGCAGAUUUCGAACUUCUUAAUUUACCUAAAUGUUUCAUUCCUUCACUUGAUUUUAUUGACGGGUAUGGGCCCUCAUACUCUAUUGUUUCAUUAGAGAUGAAUUAUGUUUUACUUCUUUUUUGGACAAUGGCAUGCACCCUAAUCUUGUGUAGGCACGUUAAGCCUGUUGUUGGGAGAAAGAUCAACCGGAUGAAGGCAGGGAUCACCGAAUGUGAUCUGGUCCUUGCAGUUAGUCCACGCUACGUUAAAGAACUUACUUCUGCCCAGCAAAAGGUGUCGAAUUGGAUAGCAUCCUUCGUACAAAGCCCCUCGAGACUGGAAUUAUAAAUGGCAUGAAUGUUCAUGAUUGUAAUCCAGCAACAAAUAAGUGCAUCAGUUCAAAUACAAUGCUACAACAGCAAGUAACGGAAGCAAGGCUCUCAAUAAAGAAAUGCUGCAAGCUGAAAGUCUGAUUGCCGGGUGACUCAAGCAUACCCAUUAUAACUUUCAUUGGCGGUCUUGAACAAUAAAAAGGUUAAGUCAUACUAAUUGCAGUCAUUCCAGAGUUCGUGGAGGAGAAUGUUCAGAUAAUUGUCCUUGGUACAGGGAAAAGAAAACGGAGGAGGAACUGAUGCCCCUGAGAAUUUUUCAGGGGUACUUUGCUAUGCCCCUGAGAAUGCCAGAGGAAUAGCAAAAUUCAAUGUUCUGUUGGCACGCAUGAUGUUUGCAGGGGCUAAUUUCAUAAUUAUCCCAAGUACGUUCGAGCCAUAUCGUCUCAUUCAGUUGCAAGGGAUGGGAUAUGGAGUGGUUCCGAUCUGUUCAUUGACUGGAGGACUCGUGGACACGGAUGAGGAGGGUGCCACCGGAUUCCACAUGGGUUCGUUCAAUGUCGAGCAACUGAAUGAUUGAUUCGAUGCCUGUAAAUAAUGAGUGCCGCAGUUCAUUCCUUUUCUGCCUUCUAAUUGGCUCUUCCUCGGUGAAUUUUUUGCCCUGGCGCAGGCACAGGGCAGAUGGCCGCUGGAAGCGUGGAUCCGAACCUCUUCCGAGGGCUUCCGCCAAACCUUCGGCAAUGUGCAGAUGCCGCCGGAAGCAGCUGGCUAUGGAUGGAACCUUGGAUAAUUUAAGUUCUUUAAUUAGCUUUCUUCACCUUGAGUCGCUUCGUUAUGAAUAUGAUUUCGGAUCUACCUUGUUAACCAGCAUGCAUAUGUCCGCGUCAGGAUUUGUUUUUCAUGUGUAUCGAUAGCUCUUUCAUUUGCUUCGA